AUACGGAGGGUGCAAGCGUUACUCGGAAUCACUGGGCGUAAAGCGCGCGCAGGCGGCUAUUUAAGUUGGAUGUGAAAGCCUACGGCCCAACCGUAGAACUGCAUCCAAAACUAUUUAGCUAGAGUGUGGGAGAGGAAGAUGGAAUUAGUUGUGUAGGGGUAAAAUCCGUAGAGAUAACUAGGAAUACCAAAAGCGAAGGCAAUCUUCUGGAACACUACUGACGCUGAGGCGCGAAAGCGUGGGGAGCAAACAGGAUUAGAUACCCUAGUAGUCC
rnacentral:rRNA from 1 species